AUGCUUGGCAUGAAAUAUGUGAAUGAUGAGCAUGCUUGCAAUGUUGUUAGUAUGAAUUCCUUGAGUAUCCAUGAUGCUAAUGAUAUGCAAAGCCACAAGCUUGGGGAAGCUAUGUUUGAUGAAUAUGAUAUUUUUUGUCCCCCAAGUUUUGAUGAGAAAAUUUAUUAUGAUGAAAGCAUGCCUCCUAUUUAUGAUGAUUAUAUUGAUGAAAGUGGGUUUGGAAUAGUGUCAACUUUAGGAAGUAGUGAUCCCACUAUUUUGGAGUAUGUUGAAUCUUAUUGUGACGAACAUGAAAGUGGAUUUGGAAGAGUGUCAACUUUAUUUAGUGAUGAAUCCACUAUUUCGAAAGAGGUUUCAAUUGAUUAUGAGAACAAAGUUGCUAUCUAUGAUGAUUAUUGUAAUAACUUGUAUGCUAUUAAGAAUAAUGAUAACCAUGAAACUUGUCAUCAUGAUUUUAGUUUUCAAUUGGAUUAUGCCUCACAUGAUAAUUAUUUUGUUGAGUUUGCUCCCACUACUAUUCAUGAGAAGAAUUUUGCUUAUGUGGAGAGUAGUAAAUUUUCCAUGCUUGUAGAUCAUGAAAAGAAUGCUUUAGGUGCUGGUUAUAUUGUUGAAUUCAUUCAUGAAGCUACUGAAAAUUAUUAUGAGGGAGGAACAUAUGCUUGUAGGAAUUGCAAUAAUAUCAAGUUUCCUCUCUAUGUGCUUAAAAUCUUGAAGCUAUGCUUGUUUUGCCUCCCUAUACUAGUUGAUUAUUGUUCCCAUAAGUUGUUUGCUCACAAAAUCCCUAUGCAUAGGAAGUGGGUUAGACUUAAAUGUGCUAGUCAUAUGCUUCAUGAUGCUCCCGUUACGUUUCAAUUCUUAUCUUCUAUGUGA
rnacentral:rRNA from 1 species